AAGCGGUGGAUGAUGUGGAUAAUUCGAUGCAACGCGAAAACCUUACCUACCCUUGACAUGUCUGGAGCCUUGGUGAGAGCCGAGGGUGCCUUCGGGAGCCAGAACACAGGUGCUGCAUGGCUGUCGUCAGCUCGUGUCGUGAGAUGUUGGGUUAAGUCCCGCAACGAGCGCAACCCUUGUCACUAGUUGCCAUCAUUUGGUUGGGCACUCUAGUGAGACUGCCGGUGACAAACCGGAGGAAGGUGGGGAUGACGUCAAGUCCUCAUGGCCCUUAUAGGUGGGGCUACACACGUCAUACAAUGGAUGGUACAAAGGGUCGCCAACCCGCGAGGGGGGAGCCAAUCCCAUAAAGCCAUUCGUAGUCCGGAUCGCAGUCUGCAACUCGACUGCGUGAAGUCGGAAUCGCUAGUAAUCGUGGAUCAGAAUGUCACGGUGAAUACGUUCCCGGGUCUU
rnacentral:rRNA from 1 species